rnacentral:rRNA from 1 species
AUUGAACGCUGGCGGCAGGCCUAACACAUGCAAGUCGAACGGCAGCGGGGGGUAGCUUGCUACCCCGCCGGCGAGUGGCGGACGGGUGAGUAAUGCCUGGGGAGCUGCCCAAUCGAGGGGGAUACCAGUUGGAAACGACUGCUAAUACCGCAUACGCCCUGAGGGGGAAAGGUGGGGAUCUUCGGACCUACCGCGAUUGGAUGCACCCAGGUGGGAUUAGCUAGUUGGUGAGGUAACGGCUCACCAAGGCGACGAUCUCUAGCUGGUCUGAGAAGAUGACCAGCCACACUGGAACUGAGACACGGUCCAGACUCCUACGGGAGGCAGCAGUGGGGAAUAUUGCACAAUGGGGGAAACCCUGAUGCAGCCAUGCCGCGUGUGUGAAGAAGGCCUUCGGGUUGUAAAGCACUUUCAGCGAGGAGGAAAGGUGGCUAGCUAAUACCUAGUUGCUGUGACGUUACUCGCAGAAGAAGCACCGGCUAACUCCGUGCCAGCAGCCGCAGUAAUAC